UUAAGUUCAGCGCGUAUUCCUACCUGAUCCGAGGUCAACCAUAGAAGUUUCCUUUAAAGGAGAGGACCGGGUCCCGGGUGCCCUUGUCCGAUACGUGCUCGGUGAAAAGCUCAGUGUACCGGGGGAACCACAGGCCGCCGUCAUUGUCUUUAGGAGGGGUCGAUCGCUCGACCGGCCGUCCAACACCAAGCACAGGGCUU
rnacentral:misc_RNA from 1 species